UACAGAGGGUGCGAGCGUUGUCCGGAAUCACUGGGCGUAAAGGGCGCGUAGGCGGCGCGGUAAGCGUGCGGUGAAAGCCCGGGGCUCAACCCCGGGUCGGCCGUGCGGACUGCCGGGCUGGAGCACUGUAGAGGCAGGUGGAAUUCCGGGUGUAGCGGUGGAAUGCGUAGAGAUCCGGAAGAACACCAGUGGCGAAGGCGGCUCACUGGCCCGAUACUGACGCUGAGGCACGAAAGCGUGGGGAGCAAACAGG
rnacentral:rRNA from 1 species